GGCAAGGUGGCCGAGCGGUCUAAGGCGCCACGUUAAGGUCCACCCUUAAUCCUCUUCAUUGUAAGAAUUCCGUGGUCUCGAAAGGGGCGUGAGUUCGAAUCUCACCCUUGUCA
rnacentral:tRNA from 1 species